CCUACGGGUGGCAGCAGUCGAGAAUCAUUCACAAUGGAGGAAACCCUGAUGGUGCGACGCCGCGUGGGGGAAUGAAGGUCUUCGGAUUGUAAACCCCUGUCAUGUGGGAGCAAAUUAAAAAGAUAGUACCACAAGAGGAAGAGACGGCUAACUCUGUGCCAGCAGCCGCGGUAAUACAGAGGUCUCAAGCGUUGUUCGGAAUCACUGGGCGUAAAGCGUGCGUAGGCUGUUUCGUAAGUCGUGUGUGAAAGGGGCGGGCUCAACCCGCGGACGGCCCAUGAUACUGGGAGACUAGAGUAAUGAAGGGGGAACCGGAAUUCUCGGUGUAGCAGUGAAAUGCGUAGAUAUCGAGAGGAACACUCGUGGCGAAGGCGGGUUCCUGGACAUUAACUGACGCUGAGGCACGAAGGCCAGGGGAGCGAAAGGGAUUAGAUACCCGGGUAGUC
rnacentral:rRNA from 1 species